rnacentral:rRNA from 1 species
GACGAACGCUGGCGGCGUGCUUAACACAUGCAAGUCGAACGGAAAGGCCCUGCUUGCCGGGUACUCGAGUGGCGAACGGGUGAGUAACACGUGGGUGAUCUGCCCUGCACUUCGGGAUAAGCCUGGGAAACUGGGUCUAAUACCGGAUAGGAGCCAUUUUUAGUGUGAUGGUUGGAAAGUUUUUUCGGUGUAGGAUGAGCUCGCGGCCUAUCAGCUUGUUGGUGGGGUAAUGGCCUACCAAGGCGGCGACGGGUAGCCGGCCUGAGAGGGUGGACGGCCACAUUGGGACUGAGAUACGGCCCAGACUCCUACGGGAGGCAGCAGUGGGGAAUAUUGCACAAUGGGCGCAAGCCUGAUGCAGCGACGCCGCGUGGGGGAUGACGGCCUUCGGGUUGUAAACUCCUUUCGCUAGGGACGAAGCUUUUGUGACGGUACCUAGAUAAGAAGCACCGGCUAACUACGUG